CCUACGGGAGGCAGCAGUGGGGAAUUUUGGACAAUGGGCGCAAGCCUGAUCCAGCAAUGCCGCGUGAGUGAAGAAGGCCUUCGGGUUGUAAAGCUCUUUUGUCAGGGAAGAAACGGUGGGGGCUAAUAUCUCCUACUAAUGACGGUACCUGAAGAAUAAGCACCGGCUAACUACGUGCCAGCAGCCGCGGUAAUACGUAGGGUGCAAGCGUUAAUCGGAAUUACUGGGCGUAAAGCGUGCGCAGGCGGUUUUGUAAGUCUGUCGUGAAAGCCCCGGGCUCAACCUGGGAAUUGCGAUGGAGACUGCAAGGCUUGAAUCUGGCAGAGGGGGGUAGAAUUCCACGUGUAGCAGUGAAAUGCGUAGAGAUGUGGAGGAACACCGAUGGCGAAGGCAGCCCCCUGGGUCAAGAUUGACGCUCAUGCACGAAAGCGUGGGGAGCAAACAGGAUUAGAUACCCUGGUAGUCCACGCCCUAAACGAUGUCUACUAGUUGUCGGGUUUUAAUUAACUUGGUAACGCAGCUAAUGCGUGAAGUAGACCGCCUGGGGAGUACGGUCGCAAGAUUAAAACUCAAAGGAAUUGACGG
rnacentral:rRNA from 1 species